AUGUGAACCAAUGUCCACAUCCUCAAAAAGAUCAGUCAGAGGAUCUCUUUUAGAAUCUUGUUGCCUCAUCCUUCUCCUUGAGUUUCCUUGGAAAUUGUCUGCUUCGGAUUUUAUAAGGUAACGAGUCUUCUCCAACACGUCUUCAAGAAACAGCUCUGCCACUGGAUACGUCAAACCCGGUAUAUGAAUCGUGGGUGCAUCUCUAAAGUAUUUGGAGAACAACUCAGCAUUAAUAGUAGCACUCAUCAGAAUGAGACGCAAAUCAGGUCGUCGAGGAAGGAGGUCUCGUAAAAUUAUCAAGAGGAAGU
rnacentral:misc_RNA from 1 species